rnacentral:lncRNA from 1 species
AAAUGCAUGAAGAUCUAUAAAUACUAAGGAUGCAUAACCAAGCAUAUAACAUAAACUGAGAAAAAUCUGUAAACUGAAAUAUUGAAAAAUAUUAAUAUCGUAUGCUUUGGUCAAACAAUACUAAGACUGAAUAACUGAGCUGGGACUGUAACUGAGUCUAUAUCUAAGACUGUGGGAGGUAUUAUCUAACCGACAUUCCCUAAUUUGAGCAAAUCAAG